ensembl:lncRNA
AUGGGGGAAAGUGACUUUUUUGUUGUUUUAAAUUCCGUGUAAUGUGCUGCUCUCUAUGCGUAAACACUUACUUUCACCACUCACAUCUCUCAGACCAGCUGAUGGGGCAUUGCGUGACUCCAGUUGUAUCUCUUAGCAAUCAAACGUACCAUGAGCCCCUUCCCUGGGCAGCAAUAGAGGUGUGACUUGUUUAGGGCACAGCAAUUGGCAUCGUCACUGUGAUCUGAGGUCACGAGACUCACAGUUAGGACUGCUCUCAGCAAUGGGGUUUGGAUUUGAGCAGUGCUGUUUGAGGUCUAGGGAUGGACUCAGUGAUCCCUGUCGGCCCCUUCCAAUUUGAUUGUAUGAUUUUGUGAUUCUGUGAUAUACUUUUAUGCACCUAAAUAAUCAUUACUAAUGUAUUAGUACUGCAUCCAGGCCUGGGGGGGGGGGGGGCCAGUGCAAAAAUGCAGAGCUGUUGGAGUGGGUCCAGAGGGUCCAUGGAUGUCCUCAGAGGGCUGGAACACCUCUGCUGUUAAGGAAGGCUGAGGGAGUUGGGCUUGCUCAGCCCAGAGAAGGCUCCAGGAAGACCUCACUGCAGCCAUCAGUACUUAAAGGGAGCUUAACAGACAGGAGGGAGGCUGUCUGUACACGAGCAGAUACUGAUGAGACAAGCUUUAAACUAAGAGAGAGCAGAUUUAGGUCAGAUGUGAGGGGGAAAUUCUUUACCCAGAGCAUGGUGAGGCCCUGGCACUGCUGCCCAGAGCUGUGGUGCCCUAUCCCUGGAGGUUCCCAGGGCUACAGAUGGGCUCUGUGCAGCCUGAGCCGGGGAGGGCAGCCAGCCCAUGGCAGGGGCUCUGUGGGGGCCCUUCCAACAUACAGUGACAGAUACAGGAGGUCACUAACAGGCAUGUCUGGUAGCCACCAGCAUCAAGUGGCAUUUCCUGGACUACCUCCUUGCAGCAUCCAGUCUACCUCAAGCUGCUGACCUCAGUAAAGAACUAAUGCUUAGAAUUACAGUACUGGAAAAACAAAACAAAACAAAAAAGUGUUUUUUUAAAAGAAGUAUAUAAGUUAUGACUUAGUAUUUUUACCCGUAAUUAAGAUGUAUUUCCAAAGAGCAGCUGCUUACAUAAACUUGACAUGAUUUUCCCCUUUCUAAAAUCCAUCAUGGCAAUUCAACAACCACACGAGUCUUAGAUCUGAACCAUCACACUGCGUGGUGGAGGGAAAAACCAGACAAAGCUGCUGCAUUAGGAGGAAAGCGGUUCUUUUCCUCAUUAAGGUGUUAUGUUUCAUUGCAGUAAAUUCCUCCGAUGUCAUCUGCAGAGUGCAGUCCAUCACCAUAAAGAAGAGUUCAAAACCACCCUACAGAUGCCAAAGGAUUACAGCUGAGGCUGGGGAAGUUUGGUUUCCACCUCAGUUAAAAGUUGCUCAAAUUGUCACUUUGAUGAUUGAAGAAGGAACAAAUGACGCCAAAUCCCUUUUGGAGGAGCACUCAUUGGUCAGAGGACUUUCCUCCUGCUUCCUCUGGAAAACAAUGCUGGAGAACUCAGGCUGGUCUGUCCCUUGCACCUGAUCGGGGAGAACAAGCUCAUUCCUCAGCAAGCUGAUGUCACCCCAGAGGCAGAGGUCAGCAGUGCUGCAGCUCCUAGCUUAAAGAUUAAUAGAUAGUAUCUUCCUUCAGACUGUAAAGGUGGGCAGAUUAAAAAACACGUCACAGACGUGGUGACUUGCAGACUGCAGUGUGUCCAGUAGUAUUAGCACAGACACAGUCAUAUAGCUUGUUGGAAACCAUGGAUAGAAAGCUGUAAUGAGUGCAAUUUGUGCGUGAAUCAGAGGGAUUUGGGAAUCACCCUAAUUACCCGAAUAAAAAUCACCUGAAAUUCCCCCAUGUUUUUUUGCUCAUGACUCAUACAACAGAAAGAGA